UACAGAGGGUGCGAGCGUUGUCCGGAAUCACUGGGCGUAAAGCGCACGUAGGCGGACUCUUAAGUCGGUGGUGAAAUCCUGGAGCUCAACUCCAGAACUGCCUUCGAUACUGAGAGUCUCGAGUCCGGGAGAGGUGAGUGGAACUGCGAGUGUAGAGGUGAAAUUCGUAGAUAUUCGCAAGAACACCAGUGGCGAAGGCGGCUCACUGGCCCGGUACUGACGCUGAGGUGCGAAAGCGUGGGGAGCAAACAGG
rnacentral:rRNA from 1 species